rnacentral:rRNA from 1 species
GCGAACGGGGAGGAGCCCAGAGCCUGAAUCAGUGUGUGUGUUAGUGGAAGCGUCUGGAAAGGCGCGCGAUACAGGGUGACAGCCCCGUACACAAAAAUGCACAUGCUGUGAGCUCGAUGAGUAGGGCGGGACACGUGGUAUCCUGUCUGAAUAUGGGGGGACCAUCCUCCAAGGCUAAAUACUCCUGACUGACCGAUAGUGAACCAGUACCGUGAGGGAAAGGCGAAAAGAACCCCGGCGAGGGGAGUGAAAAAGAACCUGAAACCGUGUACGUACAAGCAGUGGGAGCCUCUUUAUGGGGUGACUGCGUACCUUUUGUAUAAUGGGUCAGCGACUUAUAUUCUGUAGCAAGGUUAACCGAAUAGGGGAGCCGAAGGGAAACCGAGUCUUAACUGGGCGUUAAGUUGCAGGGUAUAGACCCGAAACCCGGUGAUCUAGCCAUGGGCAGGUUGAAGGUUGGGUAACACUAACUGGAGGACCGAACCGACUAAUGUUGAAAAAUUAGCGGAUGACUUGUGGCUGGGGGUGAAAGGCCAAUCAAACCGGGAGAUAGCUGGUUCUCCCCGAAAGCUAUUUAGGUAGCGCCUCGUGAAUUCAUCUCCGGGGGUAGAGCACUGUUUCGGCAAGGGGGUCAUCCCGACUUACCAACCCGAUGCAAACUGCGAAUACCGGAGAAUGUUAUCACGGGAGACACACGGCGGGUGCUAACGUCCGUCGUGAAGAGGGAAACAACCCAGACCGCCAGCUAAGGUCCCAAAGUCAUGGUUAAGUGGGAAACGAUGUGGGAAGGCCCAGACAGCCAGGAUGUUGGCUUAGAAGCAGCCAUCAUUUAAAGAAAGCGUAAUAGCUCACUGGUCGAGUCGGCCUGCGCGGAAGAUGUAACGGGGCUAAACCAUGCACCGAAGCUGCGGCAGCGACACUAUGUGUUGUUGGGUAGGGGAGCGUUCUGUAAGCCUGCGAAGGUGUACUGUGAGGUAUGCUGGAGGUAUCAGAAGUGCGAAUGCUGACAUAAGUAACGAUAAAGCGGGUGAAAAGCCCGCUCGCCGGAAGACCAAGGGUUCCUGUCCAACGUUAAUCGGGGCAGGGUGAGUCGACCCCUAAGGCGAGGCCGAAAGGCGUAGUCGAUGGGAAACAGGUUAAUAUUCCUGUACUUGGUGUUACUGCGAAGGGGGGACGGAGAAGGCUAUGUUGGCCGGGCGACGGUUGUCCCGGUUUAAGCGUGUAGGCUGGUUUUCCAGGCAAAUCCGGAAAAUCAAGGCUGAGGCGUGAUGACGAGGCACUACGGUGCUGAAGCAACAAAUGCCCUGCUUCCAGGAAAAGCCUCUAAGCAUCAGGUAACAUCAAAUCGUACCCCAAACCGACACAGGUGGUCAGGUAGAGAAUACCAAGGCGCUUGAGAGAACUCGGGUGAAGGAACUAGGCAAAAUGGUGCCGUAACU